UGGUGGAGUGUUUUGUCUGGUUAAUUCCGGUAACGAACGAGACCUUAACCUGCUAAAUAGUUGUGCCAACUUUGGUUGGCAUCGACUUCUUAGAGGGACUAUGGAUGUUUAAUCCAUGGAAGUUUGAGGCAAUAACA
rnacentral:rRNA from 1 species